CAUUAUCCACUUCACCCUUGUGCAUCACCGCGUGGGGCACCCCCUUUGGGGUCCACGUCUUUUUACACACACCCCUUUAACAAAGUUUAGAAUGUCUUUGCGAUCACACGCAAUCAAUACAACUUUCAACAAUGGAUCUCUUGGCUCUCGCAUCGAUGAAGAACGCAGCGAAAUGCGAUACGUAAUGUGAAUUGCAGAAUUCAGUGAAUCAUCGAAUCUUUGAACGCACCUUGCGCCCCUUGGCAUUCCGAGGGGCACACCCGUUUGAGUGUCGUGACAUCCUCAAACCUUCUUGGUUUCUUGAUCAGGAAGGCUUUGGACUUUGGAGGCAUUUUGCUGGGCUUCUUUGAAGCCAGCUCCUCUCAAAUGUAUUAGUGGGGUCAUCUUUGUCUUUCCCCUGACGUGAUAAGAUGUUUCUGCGUCUUGGGAUUGGCUCUGUAACCCGCUUCUAACCGUCUCGUCAGAGACUAUGUUCGGGUUUGCCACCUUUCUGUGGGUGGUAAGCUUGACCCAGAAACCUUGA
rnacentral:rRNA from 1 species